GAUGCAGUAGUGCAGUGGUUUAAUGUGCUUGACUUGGAAUCAAAAGGACCUGAGUUCAAAUCUUAGCCACAGUU